UAACCUGCCCAAGAGAUCGGGAUAACACCUGGAAACAGAUGCUAAUACCGGAUAACAACAGAUGAUGCCUAUCAACUGUUUAAAAGAUGGUUCUGCUAUCACUCUUGGAUGGACCUGCGGUGCAUUAGCUAGUUGGUAGGGUAACGGCCUACCAAGGCGAUGAUGCAUAGCCGAGUUGAGAGACUGAUCGGCCACAUUGGGACUGAGACACGGCCCAAACUCCGUACGGGAGGCAGCAGGC
rnacentral:rRNA from 1 species